rnacentral:rRNA from 1 species
AGAGUUUGAUCAUGGCUCAGAACGAACGCUGGCGGCAUGCCUAACACAUGCAAGUCGAACGAGACCUUCGGGUCUAGUGGCGCACGGGUGCGUAACGCGUGGGAAUCUACCCUUGGGUUCGGAAUAACUCAGAGAAAUUUGAGCUAAUACCGGAUAAUGUCUUCGGACCAAAGAUUUAUCGCCUUUAGAUGGGCCCGCGUAAGAUUAGCUAGUUGGUGGGGUAAAGGCCUACCAAGGCGACGAUCUUUAGCUGGUCUGAGAGGAUGAUCAGCCACACUGGGACUGAGACACGGCCCAGACUCCUACGGGAGGCAGCAGUGGGGAAUAUUGGACAAUGGGCGAAAGCCUGAUCCAGCAAUGCCGCGUGAGUGAUGAAGGCCUUAGGGUUGUAAAGCUCUUUUACCCGAGAUGAUAAUGACAGUAUCGGGAGAAUAAGCUCCGGCUAACUCCGUG